rnacentral:rRNA from 1 species
UACGGGGGGGGCAAGCGUUGUUCGGAAUUACUGGGCGUAAAGGGCUCGUAGGCGGCCAACUAAGUCGGAUGUGAAAUCCCCAAGCUUAACUUGGGAACUGCAUCCGAUACUGGAUGGCUUGAAUCCGGGAGAGGGAUGCAGAAUUCCAGGUGUAGCGGUGAAAUGCGUAGAUAUCAGGAGGAACACCUGCGGUGUAGACGGCUUACUGGACCAUGACUGACGCUGAGGCACGAAAGCGUGGGGAGCAAACAGG